ensembl:snRNA U6 U6 spliceosomal RNA
GUACUUACUUUAGCAGCACAUAUACUAAAAUUAAAAUGAUACAGAGAAGAAUAGCAUGGCCUCUGUGCAAGGCUGACUUACAAAUUCAUGAAGUGCUCAAUAUUUUC